UAGGGAAUCUUCCACAAUGGAGCAAGUCUGAUGGAGCAACGCCGCGUGAGUGAAGAAGGUCUUCGGAUCGUAAAACUCUGUUGUUAGAGAAGAACACGAGUGAGAGUAACUGUUCAUUCGAUGACGGUAUCUAACCAGCAAGUCACGGCUAACUACGUGCCGA
rnacentral:rRNA from 1 species